rnacentral:rRNA from 1 species
UACGUAGGGUGCAAGCGUUGUCCGGAAUUAUUGGGCGUAAAGAGCUCGUAGGCGGUUCGUCACGUCGGCUGUGAAAACCUGAGGCUCAACCUCAGGCCUGCAGUCGAUACGGGCGGACUUGAGUACUGCAGGGGAGACUGGAAUUCCUGGUGUAGCGGUGAAAUGCGCAGAUAUCAGGAGGAACACCGGUGGCGAAGGCGGUGGUCUGGGCCGGUACUGACGCUGAGGAGCGAAAGCGUGGGGAGCGAACAGG